rnacentral:rRNA from 1 species
UACGGAGGGUGCAAGCGUUAUCCGGAUUCAUUGGGUUUAAAGGGUGCGUAGGCGGAAUGAUAAGUCAGUGGUGAAAGCCUGCAGCUUAACUGCAGAACUGCCAUUGAUACUGUCAAUCUUGAGUACAUUUGAUGUGGGCGGAAUGUGUCAUGUAGCGGUGAAAUGCUUAGAUAUGACACAGAACACCGAUUGCGAAGGCAGCUCACAAAACUGUAACUGACGCUGAGGCACGAAAGCGUGGGUAUCAAACAGG